UCGCUGAUGAUCCGGUGGCUAAGGCUCUGCACUCCCAAUGCGGGUGGCCUGGGUUCAAUCCCUGGUCAGUGAA
rnacentral:tRNA from 1 species